rnacentral:rRNA from 1 species
UACGUAGGUGGCAAGCGUUGUCCGGAUUUACUGGGCGUAAAGAGCGCGCAGGCGGUUGGAUAAGUCGAAUGUGAAAGCCCCCGGCUUAACUGGGGAGGGUCAUUCGAUACUGUUCAACUUGAAGGCAGGAGAGGGCAGCAGAAUUCCCGGUGUAGUGGUGAAAUGCGUAGAUAUCAGGAGGAAUACCGGUGGUGUAGACGGCUCUCUGGACCGCGACUGACGCUGAGACACGAAAGCGUGGGUAGCAAACAGG